UACGUAGGGGGCUAGCGUUGUCCGGAAUUAUUGGGCGUAAAGAGCUCGUAGGCGGCCUGUCACGUCGACUGUGAAAACCCAGGGCUCAACCCUGGGCCUGCAGUCGAUACGGGCAGGCUAGAGUGUGGUAGGGGAGACUGGAAUUCCUGGUGUAGCGGUGAAAUGCGCAGAUAUCAGGAGGAACACCGGUGGCGAAGGCGGGUCUCUGGGCCAUAACUGACGCUGAGGAGCGAAAGCGUGGGGAGCGAACAGG
rnacentral:rRNA from 1 species